rnacentral:lncRNA from 1 species
GAGGGCAGCAAAAUUGUCCGUAAUCAAAUAAAUAUAUAAAUGUUCCAUAUAAAACAAAGUCAAAAUAAAGAGCAAAUUGCUAGAUCGAUGUUGUAUACGCAUACGCUAACAGCGCAACCGAAUGCAAAGCUUGAGAAAAGGUGCAGAAAUUAAACACCAGUGGAUUCGCAUACAUUGUCGCAUAUACAAAGUGAAAAACCGCAUGAAGUUUGUAUGCAUAUUAUUUUAUUGAAGACUCUAGUUUUUUUCUAACACUAGUUUUUUUUUUGAGAGUUUUUCUUUUUCUUUUUAGGAAUCCAAGUAGAGGAAGCAAAAUGGCCCAUGAACCGAGAGCGAGCCCGGUGCCGGCGGUGCGUGUACGUUAGGGGUGCCGGCCGGGAGCGGCGGCCCGCACUGGGCGAGAAGCCCAGGACCGGUGUAGGCUCGUAGCGUAGCACAACUCCGCUGAGUAGAGAAGCCCACGAGAUGAUUAUAGAGUUGCGGAAAUUUGAGAAAGGAUCAACAACGCCGAUGGCAAAAGCUCAGGACCUGUUUAGUUCCAUGCAUUGAGCGGUUAAAUAUAAAUAAAAUAAUAACUAAUUUUAUAAUUUGUCUGUAAUUUACGAAAUAAAUUUUUUGAAUGUAGUUACUCUAUAAUUAGACAACAACUAUUAAAUACAAAUGAAAGUACUACAGUAGCACCUUACAAAAAAUUUCACCAACUAAACAGCCCCUCAUUAUCCUCGAUCAUUCUCAUCACCAACUCGUAUAUAUAUAUAUAUAUGGCACUUGGCACCUCCUCUAAAAAAAACAUGUACAAGUACUUAUUACGUUCUCGUCACCUGCAACCGUAUCACGAUAACAUACAUAUAUACGCACGCGUGUUGCUGCCUGUGCUGUUGUGCUGGCAACUGUUUUGACAGUCAAAAAAAAAAAACGGAUGGGCGCC